GGAGGGGACGGCGGGGAGGGGCCGCCGCGGCGCCGGCCACCCGGCUGCAGCGGCCCAGACCCCAGUCCUGCGAACCCGGCCCGCAGCUCUCCAGGGCGCCGUCCUCCCCGGGUCGUGGGCCCGAAAACCUCCCCCAGGGGACCAGGGGACCGCCCCUUGAGGGGGGGUGGGGGAAGAAGAAGAAGGAGGGGUGUGUGUGUGUGUGUGUGUGUGUGUGCGUGCGCGCGCGUGUGUUCCUUCUUUCCACUCCUGAUAUCCUCCAUCCACCCCCGCGGCCCCGAGCCAUCUCAGGAAAAUGCCAGACUCUGCCUCCCCUGUACAACUCUGGGGGCGCGCCCACGGACCUCCUUUCCGUCCACGCACCUGCCCGCCGGACGUCCAACCAUUUUGUGGAGCGCAAAACUGAGACCUGGAAGCUCUUCCCCCAUCCCAGAGACUAAGGACUUGAAAAGAACGUGAUCACGAUACCCUUACCCCACCUUACCGAAUUGGGAAUAAUUCCCUCUUCUCCACUUUCUGGAAGUCUCGCUUGUCCAGGACGACCGGUCUACUGCCUCCCCGGCCUGAUGGGCGGCCACGAUGAAGCCGGACCCACCGGUCCCAGCACAGAAUGUAGCACGUGUCGGACAAGGAUUUUUGAACUGAGUUUAGAACAGGGAUUCUAACUCUGUUUUUCUGCUCAGGUUUUAAGUGGGCUAAGCACUUAGUUCUCAGAUGAUUUCUAGGUUGCUGGUAACGCACUGUAAGUGUCAGGGAGAAGAGACUUGGCUGGCAGCCCUUUCUCAGAUGUUCCAAGAAAACAUGCACACGGUUCUCAAACCUUAGCCUGGUCUCAAUGCCCGUCUUCCCUGAAAGCUGUUUUCGCUUUAUAACCACAGGACGUUUCAAAUCAAAUUCCAGAAAAUGCCUCGCAAUUAAAAUUUUACACUGCCUG